UGCCUGUACUAUGGACAGCUCUCAACCCAC
rnacentral:piRNA from 1 species